CGCCAGACUCCUACGGGAGGCAGCAGUGGGGGAUAUUGCACAAUGGGGGGAACCCUGAUGCAGCGACGCCGCGUGGGUGAAGAAGUAUUUCGGUAUGUAAAGCCCUGUCAGCAGGGAAGAAAAUGACGGUACCUGAAGAAGAAGCCCCGGCUAACUACGUGCCAGCAGCCGCGGUAAUACGUAGGGGGCAAGCGUUAUCCGGAUUUACUGGGUGUAAAGGGGGCGCAGACGGCGAUGCAAGCCAGGAGUGAAAGCCCGGGGCCCAACCCCGGGACUGCUCUUGGAACUGCGUGGCUGGAGUGCAGGAGGGGCAGGCGGAAUUCCUGGUGUAGCGGUGAAAUGUGUAGAUAUCAGGAGGAACACCGGUGGCGAAGGCGGCCUGCUGGACUGCAACUGACGUUGAGGCCCGAAAGCGUGGGGAGCAAACAGGAUUAGAUACCCGCGUAAA
rnacentral:rRNA from 1 species